GAUGAACGCUGGCGGCGUGCCUAACACAUGCAAGUCGAGCGAACGGACGAGACUUUUGCUUGGAUGAUGUGGGCGGCGGGUGGGUGAUUCACAUGAGUAUACCCUACCUAUGGGACUGGCAUAACUACGGGAAAGCUUAUCUAAUACCGGAUAAUAUUUUGAACCUCAUGGUUCAUAAGUGAAAGACGGUCUUGCUGUCACUAAUAGAUGGUUCCGAGCUGGAUUAGUUAGUUGGUAAGGUAACGGCUUACCAAGGCUAGGAUGCCUAGCCGACCUGAGAGGGUGGUCGGGCACCUGGGAACUGAGACAGGGUCCAGACUCCUGCGGGAGGCAGCAGUAGGGGAUCUUCGGCAAUGGGCGAAAGCCUGACGGAGCGACGCCGCGGGAGUGAUGAAGGUCUUCGGAUCGUAAAACUCUGUUAGUAGGGAGGAAGAGAUGUGAAUUUAACUGUGGCCAUCUUGACGGUACCUAGAGAAAAAGCCCCGGCUAACUACGUG
rnacentral:rRNA from 1 species